GACGAACGCUGGCGGCGUGCCUAAUACAUGCAAGUAGGACGCAUUUGCGAACGGGUGAGUAACUCGUAGGUAACUACCUAUUAGAGGGGGAUAACUAUUGGAAACGAUCGCUACUACCGCAUACUAGUAGAUGGACCUGCGUUGUAUUAGCUAGUAGGUAGUGUAAUGGCCUACCUAGGAAACGAUACAUAGCCGCCCUGAGAGGGUGAUAGGCCACACUGGGACUGAGCACAGGCCCAGACUCCUACGGGAGGCAGCAGUAGGGAAUCUUCGGCAAUGGGGGGAACCAUGACCGAGCAACGCCGCGUGAGUGAAGAAGGUUUUCGGAUCGUAAAGCUCUGUUGUUAAGGAAGCGGUACUUAACCAGAAAGGGACGGCUAACUACGUGCCAGCAGCCGCGGUAAUAC
rnacentral:rRNA from 1 species